rnacentral:rRNA from 1 species
GACGUAGGGCGCGAGCGUUGUCCGGAUUUAUUGGGCGUAAAGAGCUCGUAGGCGGCUUGUCGCGUCAACUGUGAAAACCCGUGGCUCAACCAUGUGGUCUGCAGUCGAUACGGGCAGGCUAGAAUUCGGUAGGGGAGACUGGAAUUCCUGGUGUAGCGGUGAAAUGCGCAGAUAUCAGGAGGAACACCGAUGGCGAAGGCAGCCCCUGGCGACACUG